AUCCAUCUGACGAGUCCCAAAUAGAACAAAACGUGCUUCCUCGAU
rfam:Schistosoma mansoni strain Puerto Rico chromosome 2, complete genome